UACAGAGGGGGCAAGCGUUGUUCGGAAUUACUGGGCGUAAAGGGCGCGUAGGCGGCCUUCUAAGUCGAACGUGAAAUCCCCGGGCUCAACCCGGGAACUGCGUCCGAUACUGGAAGGCUUGAAUCCGGGAGAGGGAUGCGGAAUUCCAGGUGUAGCGGUGAAAUGCGUAGAUAUCAGGAGGAACACCUGUGGUGUAGACAGCUUACUGGACCACUUCUGACGCUGAGACACGAAAGCGUGGGUAGCAAACAGG
rnacentral:rRNA from 1 species